GAAAUGCGAUAAGUAAUGUGAAUUGCAGAAUUCAGUGAAUCAUCGAAUCUUUGAACGCACCUUGCGCUCCUUGGUAUUCCUUGGAGCAUCCUGUUUGAGUAUCAUGAAAUCUUCAAAGUAAAUCUUUUGUUAACUCAAUUGGUUUCUACUUUGGUAUUGGAGGUCUUUGCAGCUUCACACCUGCUCCUCUUUGUUCAUUAGCUGGAUCUCAGUGUUAUGCUUGGUUCCACUCGGCGUGAUAAGUUAUCUAUCGCUGAGGACACUGUAAAAGGUGGCCAAGGUAAAUGCAGAUGAACCGCUUCUAAUAGUCCAUUGACUUGGACAAUACUUUUAUGAUCUGAUCUCAAAUCAGGUAGGACUACCCGCUGAACUUAAGC
rnacentral:misc_RNA from 1 species